rnacentral:lncRNA from 1 species
AAGUGUAAACACAGUGAAUUGUAAAUAUAUUCCUACAAAAUUUAACUUUUUUAUGUUAUUUUUAUAAAAGUCCUAAUAUUUUCAAAUAUGUCUCGUGCAGUUAUAAAUCGUUAGAAAAUUUUAACUAAUUAUAGGUAAAAUACAUAAUUCUGCUUAUUUAAUAAGGUAAGUUGAUAUUUUUACUCUUUUUAUAUUAUACUUUCUUCUCUCAAUCAAAAUCUAACAAUGGAAAUUUUUUUUUUCUCUCUUCCACUCUCUCCUUCAUGCUAGUUUCGAAUCCCUAACUAGAAUUUCUUCGUCUCUAUUUCUCCACGACGCAUAUUGCUUCUCCGAUGAUGAGUGUGUGGUGCUUUUUCAUUCACUUUUCUCUAUAAUUUUUUCAUAUUUUGCUCAAAAAAAAAAGUUUAAGAAAAACAUAGUGAAGAAGAGGUUGCAAUAAUAGUGAACUGGAUUGAGUUUUAAAGAAAGAAAAAUGAGAAAGAAGAUGACCAUUGCAAAUUUUUGGGAGGAUAUUUCUGCAUGAUUUUUGCGAGGACAUUUUUGCAGUUGUGAUUUUUUGUGAGACAUUUGUAAUGGCAAAAUUGACAUUUUAUAUAUCUGCUGUUAAAAAAUAAAUAAUUCUCUAACGGUAACGAAUAAGAACGACAAAUAUGAAUAUCAUUGAACAUUUGUAGGGAUAAAAAUUUAAAGUUAAAUUUUGUAAAGAUACAUUUACUAUUUACUAUAUUUACAAUGAGUUGUAUG